UAAAAUAUUUAAUAACAUAAAUAACAUAAUAUUUCACCAAUGUAAAUGUAAACAGAACUCAACAGCAUCAUUAACAACCAUUAGUCCUCCUAAAUUUGGGGGGGGGGGAGUACGUUUUAUAGUCUGAAAAAUACAGGUAUGAGAGAAGAGGGAAGAA